UUCUAAACUCCCAAAGGAUUAUGGACAUGGAUUGACUUGUGUCAUUUUCUGGAUGUCAAAAUAUCCAGAUUUUCAAAUAACAGGAAAUUAUUGAAAGUACUAAUACAGUGAGGCAAUUGACAAAUUCUUUUAGGCACAUACCUUGAUUUCUCCUAGGUCUGCUGUUUUCUUUGACCUUCAUUGAGGAGCCCUCCUCUCCAAGAAAUGUUAUUGUUAAUACUAAGUUAGUUCCUAAAAUUUAAGCUUGCAUGCUUUUCAUCAUAGUGUGUCUGUAAGGUACAUCUUGUUAAAGCCUUUUUAACAUAUGUAUUAGUUGCUUGCAUCUGAACAUAACUGUUCAUCUUAUAUUUUCUUUCUUUUUUCUGUAUGUUAUCCUAUUCAUAUCUGUAUUAUGUACAUCAAAUAUGGUUAUAUAUUGUUUCGGUUCCUUUUCUGGAUCUCAACAAUUUCAUGCCAAUAAUUUCUUCCAUAAAUGUUCCUUCGCCAUACUCGUUGCACCUAGAUUCACGUUUGGAUGGAAUUUCUAGGAGUAGUCAAUUGUGUCGGUUUAAAUUGGUUGGACUGUAUAAACUAUGGUGGCCUAUGCUUUGUUUAGCAUUUGGAUGCUGUUAGUGUCUACAAUUUGCUCUCUAUACUAAUAAUGUUUUUUCUUGCGUAGGACUUCACAGUGGAACAGGACACUGUUAACCCAAGCAACGGAUGGAAAGCUUACUAUGCUGCCACCAAAGCCAUUGUCAAUGUCAAUGCAGAAUUCUAUAAUAUAAUCAGAGAAAGGUCACUUCCAGCAAUGAGUAGAUUUUGGCUUAAUGCUGACUAUGUAAAAUGUAUACAUGCAUCUGGGGAGUUAUUCACAGGGUAUGCCAUUAACCUUAAUUUUGUUAAAUUUGUUAUUCUGGAAAAACUCAUGGCUAAAUCAGAAUAUGACACACUUGUCACUUUCUUGAAUAUUUUUACCUCUGGCAACUUUGAUUAUGUUUUCUUCUUUUCUGUUGAAGAUGCUAUAGUGAUCUUUUAUAUGUAACUGAAUUUUCCUUCUUUUUGUUCCAAAAUAAUAGCCACAUUGCUGCUUAGCCUGCUUUGCAACCUUUGUUACCAAGGUUUAGGUCAGAGAGCAGCCUUUCUGUUUACAUGGGUAAAGCGGCAUACAUUAAUUCUCCCCAAAUCUUGUAUUGAUGGGAGCCUCGUGCAUUUAUGCUUGUUUCAAGUUAAACUUAAUACUCAGCUUGAUCGCAGUAUGCUUGAACCUUGUAUCUUUAAUUCUGCUUACUUGGGGCUUUUGUGAUCUGACCACAGUAGCAGUUGUGCUGAGUAUUCCUAAGAUUUGCUACAGAUAAUGCACAACCAUGUUUAACAUCAUCUAGACUCUUACAUAUAGGUGAUUUAUAUGGCCUUUGUUUCCUAAUGAUUCAUAAGUGAAGAUAUUAUUUUGCAUUUUUUUGAAAUUUAGCAUCCACAUAUAUAAUUUAAAGCUAAGUGAUGCUGCCUUUUCAUGCAUCUGGUCCUUCUUAGGAUAUCUCGGUUAUAGAUUCUUGUGGUGGGAAUGUCUAGGACAAAUAUCUGUUAAAAAGUUAUUGUUUCCUAAUUUUAGGUGACAUUCAUUCCUUUCGUGGUAGAAGAAAUAUUCUUGAUGACAUUGAAUGAUGGCCCUGCCCAACAUCUGAGACUGAGUUUUAGACAUAUAGUGGACUAUAAUUGAAAGUUUGGAGUGCCAUCACAUUGUACCACUUUUGCUUAAACCCCCUUGUACCCACUCUGACAUGCAAUGUACUAUCGGCCUGCAUCUUUCAAAAAAUGGAUAAAUUUUUUCAUGCAUAACUACCUUGAUAUUUGUGAUGGUUCUAAUGUUUUACUCACUUAAUGAUGGCUUUUUGUCUUUUUUGUUCUAAUCAAAAUUUUGCAGUGUUAAAGAAUGUUGUUAAUUGCAUACCUUAAUGUGGCCAUUAGUAUAUUGGUAAAGGUUGUGGAACUUGUCUAUUUUUUGGAUUUUCCAUUAAUGGUGAUACACUGAGAUUUUGAUGAAUUUAGUUGUGAAUACCAGCAUGACAGAGAUCUUGCUUAUAAGAUUGUGGCAACUAAAGAUACUUGGUUGAAGGGCGGAGGCCCUUGUAGGACUGACAUUACUAAUGUUGUGCAUCUUUACUUUUUAAUUUGUGGUUCUCAGUAGUUCUGAUUGUUGGUUGUACUCUUUCUACUUCAAAUUAUACCUGAAUAUUCAUACUUUGUUGCUAAUUCAAAAUAGUGAAAAAUUUUAGUUCAUGUUAUCUUUCUUGUAAAAUCUUAGGUAGGAUCUCUUCUGUAUGUUUUUAUUUUCACAUUAACUAGCACUUAUCAUCUUAUUUAUUAUAAAGUACCAUUCAAUUCCUUGUUUAUUUUAGCAUUUAAUUUUUAAGGAUAUUUUUGUUAGUGUUGUCUAAAUCUGUUCAGGCUAUGUGCCUUUGAAGGGUUCUAUAAUUUUGUUUAAACACCAUCAAUUUUUUUAUAUUCUAGCAAUAAGUUGAUGAGGUCCCCUAAAAUAACUUUGAGCACUUCUGUUUUGUUGGGUCUUUAAUUAUAUGUAAUUUGGUUGUUCUAUAAAGGAAAAAAAACAAUAGUUAGACUUUCUCAUCAAGCUAAAAAAUAUAAUCUUGAAUAUCUUCUAAUUAUAUCCUAUAUGAGGUCAACUACAGAGCUUCUUUGGAUAAUACAAUAGUCUAUCUAUUGUGUUCAUUAGGAAUUUGAGUGUUGGGUUGUUAAGAAAAAACAUAUAAAAAAAUUUUAUAUUGUCGAAAUGAGAAUGUUAACAUGGAUGUGUAGAAUUCUAGGAAAGAUAGAAAAAAAUAUAUUUUUAUUUGUGAACAACUAAAUAUCGCUUCGAUAGAGGAUAAGAUGAAAGAAAAUUACUUAAGAUAGUUUGGAUAUGUGCUGUGGAGAUCUCCGAAUGCAAUAAUUAGAAGAGACGAAAUAAUUAAUGUAACUGGGACGAGAAGAUGUAAAGGAAGACCUAAAAAGACCUUAAUAGAAAUUAUAUAUAAAGAUUUAAAUACUUUGAACUUAACUAGAUAUAUGAUUUUUUACCGGUCUCAAUAACGACAAAAGACCCAUGUAGCCGAUCCUAAAUAGUUGGGACUUAUGGCUUUGUUGUUUUUGUGGUAGAAAUUUGAGCAAAAUCCCAUUUGCAACAAUGAGAUAAUGGGCUAUGUGCCCUUUGAACAUUGUUGGAUGAUAUUUUAUGUCUUUAGUUCAGGCAUAUAUGGCUAGUGCUAAACCUAAACCAAUUUUUUUCUGUAUGUCUAGACAUCUAUUAGAAAUGAAGAUUGCUCCACAACUUCCUUGGAAGGUUAAAAACAAGGGUGUCAUGUAAUCUGGCUGUGCUCAUGUGUGUAUGUGAUGGGCAAUGUGAUAGGCUAGGCUAAUAAACAGAGUUGAUCAUCACUGGUUAUCAGUGUUUAUAAAAAAGAAUUUAUAGUUCAUAUAUCUUCCUGAAGACAGGCAAGUUGAAAUUUAGCAAACAGUUGUGGCUUUGUUUUUCUGUGAAUCUAUAAUGGGUUUGUAUUGUUUCCUUUUUAAUCAUAUUACUAGCAAAAAGUACUAUCCCACCUAAAGCACUAUCAUUUGGUCUGCAUUUUCCUUGAUUAUGAAUAAUUUUUGUCUGGCAUAAUUUCCUCAAUGCAUGAGCUCUUUCUUGGAGGUAUUUGGGACUGUAACUGCUUUCCCACCUAAAAUUACCGUAACACAAGAUCCUUGGACUUAAUGGUUACGUUUCCUGGCCAUUUUCUUGAUGAGCUGCUCAACUGCUUGUGUUUGUGAAGUAGGUGCCUGAAUAAUCGCCGUAACUGCAUUUCUGACAAAAGACAUGGGUAUCUGAACUGGGGAAAAAAUGCACUACUAGAAAGUGCAAGCAGAUAAACCCAUUUACAUCAUUCAACAUUUGAAACUAGUUUUUUUCAAAUAAAAUAUAUUUGUUUCUCCUUGUUUACAACUGGUGGCUUAACGAUUUUUGUGCUCAUGCUUGCUUCAUUACAGGUACAGUGCAGUGAUUGACAGCUGGGCAUUGUUAUUCAACUGGGGCCAAGGUGGCGGCCAAGGGAUUGAUUUCCAGAUACGGGAUGUACGAGCUCGUAUUCUUGGUGACGUGGCUUGGGUUACCAUGAAUGCUUAUGUUGACAUCGACUCGGGGCCAUUCCAUGUGACUAAUAUCUACGAGCUUCAUGAUGGGAGAUGGCACAUGGUUCACCACCAUAGCUCAGUGAUGCUACAUUGAAGUGGAUGAGAAAAGCAGUGGUUGUCGAAUGCCUGAUUGUGCUGAAAGCUUAUCUCUCUUUCAAUUUUCCCUCUUAGUUCUAUUGUCAUGUUUCUUUUCUCCAUUUUACCACCAAAAGGUAUACUUGAUGAUAUCUUCACUCUAGAAUGUCAACAUAUGCUUCUAUAGCAUUCUCGGUUGCGAUAGUAAAUUCUUUCCUCUCCAUUAGGUCCAGUUGUAUCUUUAUAAUCAAAUUUUGAUUGUCCAAAUGUCCACCCUCCAUCGGGAAUUGUACAGAUAUGAAUGUGGUUACAAAGAAAAAAUGGAAACUGAGCAUGCUGGUGGCUGUUAACAUGAUGAGAGUUUUAUGCAUUGUCUCAUUGGUCUAAAGAUAGGUCGUAGAGCUGGCUGUCAUCGAUGUUCGUGAUCCUCACUGGUUCAUGUCAUGUCAAUGUGUUUGGUUUGAUCACUUCGAAAGAAAGCCCAUGCUCUCUCUGCCGUAGAUGUGUGGGUGGCUGAUGGCGGCCAAGGUAAAAGGCCCAUGGUUGGUCUGAUCAUACUAACUUGUGUUGCGAAAAAGUGUGUGAAGGCUUAAUAUGAUGUUUGGCUAACUUCCUUUCAUGAGCUUGAAGUUGGUGUGUUGUAAUGACGUACGUAUGUCAGAUAUCGUACUUCAUCUGUAAUUUGAUAGUGAUCUUUCGCUGGUGUUGCUACCGCAAGAUAUGAUUUGGCGUGAGAGCAAAAGAAGAGUGCAGGUGUCCUGCUGCUACACGCCUAGUUUGUUGUCUUCUAAUUGUUUUGUCGAUAAUUGAAUCCCCGAUCUAUAGUCUCAUCACGCGACAGGGGAUUAGCAUCAGAAAUUGGGUCCCAGCAUCUGUGCAAGUUGGUGAUUCACGGAUCUCCUCGUUGUAUGUGGGCCCCUUUCCCAGGCUGCCUGUCUGCUGGUCUUCUCGGCUGGCUUCCAGGCUCCAUUCAUUUAUCACAGGGCAUCAUAUCAUGAUCGACGAACGGCUAUGGUUUACGAAGCGACGCACGCCACGAAAGGAACCGCGGACGCGGCACGGUCUGCUCCUGGAACUUCCCAUUCGUGUCUUCUGUCGUGUUCCACCACAUCAUGCGUCGACCGCGCGUCGCACUCCUUCCAUCGCAUGCGGCCCCCACGCGGCAAGAAGUGAAACAGGGUUUUUGAAGUGUGGGCCCGUACAGUAGAAGGCCUUAGCGCCUGGGGGGGGGACCACCUAUCCUGUGCAGAGUGGCAACGUGUUCCCUGUCUGAGGCAAGACAGGUGAACUAUAUAUGAGUGUGUGUGUGAAAGGAUCGCAAGGAUCAGACCCGGCAUCUGCAAUGUUCUUCUACUCAUCCAGUAACCUAUCUAGGUUGCUUUAAACAUCCCAUAAAAAGCUUUUUGUUUGUAGUUUUACCUACCCGUUGUUUGUGCUUUCAAGCGGAGCAGACAUUAGCUAACAAAUUAAAUCAUAUCUUUUUCGUCAAAGAAAGAAAGGAUCAAACAAGAUUUUUCAUUCAUCCGUGAGGUUGCACAGAAAGAAACACAAUCAUCUCCUUAAGGGAUGCUACGUGAAAUGAAGCACCAACAGAUUAAUAUUAUUAGCCCAAGAACAGAAGAAGGAAGAACUACUAGUGCUACAAAGUCUCAUCAGGCACAUGAAAGAUAACCUAACAGUCAGAACAAGUAAUUUUAAACGCUCUUCUUCUACUAACAGGCAAACACAUGCUCGCAGUGUUGACUCAUCCAAUCUGCCGCUCUCUUGCUCUUGGGUUGCUUCUGCGCUGCCUCAGCCGUGCUUGCGUACGUCCUCAUCCUCUCGAUCAUGGCCUCCGUGUUCGCCUGCUCUGACAAUAUCUCCGCCAGCUGCUCCGAGCUGAUCGCCAUCCUCACUCUCCACACGCCCUUCUCCGGCGACGGCAAGACUUCCAGGUUCUUGAAGGUUUCUGUCCCCUGGUAGUUCCUGGGUCGACCUGCGCUUCCGCUGGCUUUGCGAGUGGCCGGUGGCUCUGCGGAGGCUAUGUCCCUGAUCCUUCCGGCAGCCUCGAGCUUCCCUUCUUUGGUGGUUUCCGGGACGGUGAAGCUCACGGUGGCGCCCUUCACGGAGCAGCUCACCAUUGUACCCUUCACAGUGCAGUUCCCCAUCAGUGCCAGCUGCCCAGUCUCCUCUCCAACAUGGUGACGGCCAGUACUUAAGGAGGAGGAGGACCCGAGAGCUGGCGUGGAUUCAUGGAGAAGACAAAGCUUUGCAAAUAAUUCUGGAUUACCCUCUCUAAAUAUGAACUUUGCAGACUGCGAUUGAUUGCAGGGACAGGUUUUGCAUGAUGGCCGGGCUUGGCGUUGUCUGAGAGCUGGAAUCCGUAGUUACAUGAUGAUGGUGGAGGGCUAGGAUUGAGUUGGGUCCUCGGUGGGGAUCAAUAUGACAAAUUUGUGGUACAAGCAGCCAUGUGUUGCACAGGAAAGCAGUCCGGCAUGGAUGUCUUCAUGCCUUAAGGGAACUGUUCCUUCGUUGGCCUCAUGGAUGGCCACAACAUCGAAACAGCUUGCAGAUAGACGAAGCAUCAGCCAUUCUCUGGUCCACAGCAUCAUGAAAGAGAAAGCAGAAAGGGAGGCAAAGACCAUAUAUAUAUAUAUAUAUAUAUAAUGCCAAUGGCAUUGGAUUCCAUCGCAUAUUCUUAGUCGACAUUUGGGAUUUGACUCAUUUUAAUUGAUGUCGGCUAAUUCUCUUUAUAUAUAUAUAUAUAUAUAUAUAUAUACUUAACAUAUGGAAAAUUUUAGUCAUAUCAAGCUAAUCUAAUCGGAGCAGUAAUCAUUGUCUAUGCUCCAUGUGAAUUGAUUCCUCGAGAUCAUGUUGUGGGCUAGACAUUAAUCCGUGAUGAGAGUACUUAUGGGCCAGCUUACUUAGUCCAACGGGCCUCCUUUAUGCAUGCAAUUGGACUCAUGUUUUGUCUUCUAAUAUGUUUUCUCACUAAAUUGUUAUUGGGAUUAAUAUAUAUAUAUAUAUAUAUAUAUAUAUAUAUAUAUAUAUAUAUAUAUACACUAAAAAUAAUCAAUAAUAUAUUUCCUUGUGAGAAAACUUGAGAGAUAAGCCUACUUGAACAACAAAAGGAAUUAUAUUACGAUAUAUUUUUGUUUGAAGAAAAAAUACUGGUAAUUGAGGAUUAAUUGCUUUGUACAUACACUGCCCAUUUCAGGAUUUUGGUGCAUCGAAAGAAUUUUAUUUUUAAUUUUUAAGUAGAUCUAGAAAGAUUGAAAGAUUUUUUUUUAUGUUUUAUGAGAUAGGAUGUAUGUAUGUACAUACACACAUAUAUAAAAAGAAAUUUUAAAAUAUAAUAUUCUCUCUAUGGAUAUAAGUAAAGCCUUCUUCCUCUCAAAGCGAUUCAACGAUGAUAAAGUUUUGUAGGUAAUAGAGGAGUAACUAUUCGAAUUUAUUUCCGAUCUCUAUUUUGACUUACUUUGUGGGUCGAUAUUCUUUUAUUUGUCGCUUUUGAUUUCGAUCGCAUGUACUCGUCUUCAUAUAUAUUAACAGUUAGAUCAUAAGUAUGUAUAUGUAUAUUUAUAGGUGCUUUACAAGCCAAUCCUCCGUAAGUGUUGACACGAUCUCUUAGCUAGGCUGACUAAUGCCUACCACCACCAAAUCGCUUUCGGCGACCGAUUAAAUGGUGUCGACAUGACUCGUGACAUCGGAUCGAGCUACUAAUCCACUCACAUUCCCAUAUGAUAUGAUAAUUUGAUGAUCGAGGAAUCUUGUUCCACCAAGUUUCGAUGAUGCUUUGGAGAAUCUUCUCUCUCUCCACGCAUGAGAAUAAUUAACUCUUCCGCAUGUCGUUGUGGGGUUCCCAAGAGGCCAUGGUGGAUCGCCAAUUAUUGGUGUCGUCGCAGCUUCAUUAGGCUGUCAGCUAUGACGAGUCGAUCACACGAGCCAACGAUGCUCAAAUGACGAAGCAAUGGUACACCAGUUCCUACGAUCUGGGAUCCCCUCGGUGUCAUUUAGUCAUGCACGAUAUUGAGAGAGAGAGAGAGAGAGAGAUAACAUGGGAGACCAAAGCUCAUGGGAAAGCACCGCCACCAUCAAAGCACGGUGGCAUAUGCCGACUUAUAGUGUGGCACUCACAACGCUUUAGACGAAAGGAUCGGUUUCGAUACAUGCAAGGAGAUGGCAAGUCUUGUUGUCUUUCUCAGUUCUAUCUCAUCUCUAUCUCUUUUUGAGUAUAAUAAUUGACCCUUUAUUUAUAGAGUAUGAAAAUUACAUUACUCAAUUGUGAAUAGUGGAUUAAAUUAUCGCAAUUAAUAUCGUCAUGUAUUAUGUCGAUGCACUCGACUUAUUAGUGAGACAUACGUUACAUUCGAUUAGAUCGAGGUUGAUAGUGAUAUGAACAUAUAUAUGGAUUUAGGUAUCUAAAUAUACGCUUAAAAAAAAGUAUGUUAAUAGUGACAUGAACAUAUAGUUAGGUUAGGUAUCUAAAUAUAUGCUUUAAAAAAGAGAGCUAAAUAUAAUAAGAUGGAGAUGGUCGUUGAAAAGUCGACAUCCGAAUUAGACCAGAUGAGAUAAUUGACUCAACAACUUGAUGAGCUUUAAUAUACAAACCUAUCUAACCUUUGUCGACUAAUUUAAGUUUAAAUGUGGUAUAAUAAAUCGGAUAGUUUAGAUUAGGAAGCAUGUCAUGUGAUUUGAUUAGUAAGUGUGUUUGUAUACAAUCUUCAAAAUUUCAUGCUUGUUGUUAGUGUAAACAACCUUAAGUCGUGGCCGACGCGACUCGGUUCGGGUCUAGAUGACGGGGAUCUCCAAAGGGGGUUCCUCAGGACUACUGAGGUCGCCGGCUCGAUCGGUUCGAUCGUGGAGGUGGGUCGCCAUUUCCUCCGGGAAGGGGCUCCUCGCUUGGUGCGUCCGAUGAGAGUCGCCUCGUCUUCGUUCCUGCACACGGGUCGGGUCGAGGUGCUUGACCCGACCCCUCCGACGAUCUAAGUUAGUUGAAGGUCGCAGGAGGUUUGUUCGUGCUUAUGUGUUGUCCCCCUCCCUCUUGUUUAGAACACGAGGGUAUUUAUAGGAAAGUUUAGUGUUAUCUGAUGUGCCUGCCCACAGGGAGCAGGAUCGUACCUCUGACAACGUCUGACAUCACCGUUGGCGUGGCAUGAGGGAUAGAACCUGAGCAGUCAUUAAUGGGCCUCGGUUGACGUUUCGGCCCGUGUUUACCAGGUGCUGUCAGCCCGACAGAGACAUGGGACGUCAGCUGAUAUCACGUGAGUCUUAUUAUAAUUAUCAUCCUCAUCACUUAUAUACCGAGAUGGAAGACAAAGGAGGCUUGAAAUGAGCUUAGCAUUACGAGGGAGAAACAGUGUCUUUGCUCGUUGAAAUCACGAGUAGCCGUCGGUCCGCUAUUCUCGGAUCAUAUGCUAAUAGCAGAUGGCCAUGUUGCUGUUUCAAAUCACCCACUCCUCCCAUAGAAACACGUUUGACGCAUCGACUCUCUCUCUCUCUCUCUCUCUCUAUAUAUAUAUAUAUAGAGAGAGAGAGAGAGAGAGAGAGAGAGAGAGAGAGAGAGACUUGGGCGGAAUUCUCCACCGUACGGCGACAAGUUCCCACCCGGUCGCUGUCGCACCACCGCCCCUCUCGUCUUCCCCGAUGGAGGGGUGGACGGGGACGAUGAUGAGCCCAUCAUAUCCGAGCCCCCCACGUGAAAUUUCCGCCCUCCUCUUCUGGACCCCACCAAUCCCUCACCCAUCCGUCCACCCCGUCCCCGCCCUUUGGUUAUUACCGACAGAGCCUCCCGGCACGUGCCGAUACUGACUGUAACGGGAGGCGGUCCAAUCACCUGUCUCCCUCCAGCGGACCACGCAUCGGCAUACGUAUGUGCGCCACCCGCGAGCCGCCGGUCCCACUCGCGAUGGCAACGUCGGGGAACGUAACGGGGCGGCUUGCUCGCCGGGAGGACUUCCGUUACGUUGCGGUGUAUUACCGGAAGCCGCAGUCAAGAUUGGGGACCACCGGUGGACCCACCUCGAGAAACGAUAAGCGCCAUGUGACAGUGGGUAUACGUGGCGUCUUCAAUGUGCGUGUGUGAGAGAGAGAGGGACAGCGAGUGGGGAAGCCAUUAACUCCAUCGCCAUCACUGUACACACGGGAGGAGGACACACCCCCACACCCAGCAGGUAAAAAGGUAUUCGGCCGAUUCGGUGACGCCGCUUUCUUGGCUCCUCUCUCGCUCGUCUUCCUCUUCUUCUUCUCUCUCGGUCGCUUUGUUUGGGAGAGAAAAAAAAGGGGGAAGAAAAGAGGCGGGCGGAGCGAGAGAGAGAGAGAGGACGGGUUUGAUUCCUCGAAUCGAGGCAACGAAGCGGCGUCCGGCAGUUUCGCUGGGGCUGGGGAACAUCCCAGCGCUCGGGGAUUCAGCGAGGAGGGCGGCAGCGGGUGAAAGGCGAGGCCUUUAAUUCGCGCCGUUCUUCUCUCCUGACGCGUUUUGCUGCUUCAUUAAUGGGGUGAACUAAAUGCCUGAGGGAGCGCCCAAGGGUCGCACGGGAGGUUUCUCUCCGUUGUUCGGCCGCCAAAUUCGACCUUACUCACGGUGGUGAAGGAAAAGCCGGUGCUUUUGGAGCGCUUGGGUUGGUAUCGUGGCCGCGCGGAUCGGAGUCUCGGCUGAGCGAUAUGCUGAAGAAAGGUGAGGGUUGCGUCUCCUGUGGCCUUAAUUUUUUGGGGUUGCUCUCUCUCUCUCUCUCUCUCUUUUAGUUUGAUUGAUUCGUGUUUGAUGUGGUGAUGCAGGUGAUACGCUGUACGAAGAGCUGUGGAGGGCGUGCGCGGGACCUCUGGUGGAGAUUCCCCGGGUGGAUGAGAGGGUGUUCUACUUCCCCCAAGGUCAUCUGGAGCAGGUGAAAGAAAGAAAGACUUCUCAUACUCUUCUUCUCUUGUAUGCGGUGGAAGCGAUAAAAACUCCACCUUUUGGGUUAUAAUCUUUGGAUUCUUCGUGAAUUCCUCUGUUUAUAUGCAGUUGGAGGUUUCGACAGAUCAGGAGUUGAACCAGCAGAUUCCGCUGUUCAACCUUCCUCCCAAAAUUCUAUGCCGCGUUGUCAAUGUUACUCUAAAGGUUGGCUAUAUUUCCACCCUCUUUCUUUCUCGAAUUAAAACUUUGUCCUUCGCUUCUAGAAAUUUGCUGUUGGAUAAUAGAUAGCUCCUUACCGUCCCGCUUUUUCCAGGCCGAACCCGACACUGACGAAGUCUAUGCUCAAAUCACUCUGAUUCCUGAGUCAGACGUAAGAAACAAAUUGAAGUUACUUUCAAAGAAUUGCACUUGCAUUUCGGGAAAAAGAAAUUCUCUUUUUGAUACAAUGCCACACAAAUUGAGUUCUUUUGGGGUUUGAUUCUUGUUAGCAAAACGAGCCUACCAGUCCUGAUCCAUGUGUUCUGGAGACGCCGAGACCGGUGGUUCAUUCCUUCUGUAAGAUAUUGACAGCUUCUGAUACAAGCACCCAUGGUGGCUUCUCGGUUCUUCGUAGACAUGCCACCGAAUGUCUUCCUCCUCUAGUCAGUUCUUCCAUGUCUCUCUCAGUCGGUUUCAGUAAUCGGUCUUACUUUUUCAGAUGUUCUCUCAAUCUGGACUGCGUUUGCAUGCCUUGACAGGAUGUAUCACAACAAACCCCCUCACAAGAGUUGGUUGCCGAGGAUUUGCACAGUUUGGAAUGGCGAUUUAAACACAUAUUCAGAGGUAUCAGUUUGAUUCUCUUCUCUUUGAAUUUUUUGUUACCAACCAAGGUAAAAAUUCUCCAUUGCAGCACAAUGGGCUUCAAUUCAAUUGUAUACUUUUCCAGGGUUAGUUGAAGGUAAAAAAAGAAAAGUAGCUUUUGUCUUCUCAAAUCAUCGGCUAAUUGAAUUCUGAUUGGCAGGUCAACCACGGCGACAUUUGCUCACAACAGGAUGGAGUACAUUUGUAGCAUCAAAGAGAUUAGUCGCUGGUGAUGCAUUCAUCUUAAUGAGGUUAAUGUUUCUUGAAAAAAGUUUUCUCUUUCCUUUUUCCUUAAGACUAGUGUUUUAAGUUUGAUUCGAUGCUCUAGAGGGGAGAAUGAUGAACUGCGGGUUGGAGUGAGGCGACUCGCCCGCUGCCAAAACACUCUGCCGACAUCUGUGAUAUCUAGUCAUAGCAUGCAUGUUGGACUACUUGCCACUGCAUCACAUGCCAUUUCAACUCAUACACUUUUCAUGGUGUACUACAAGCCUAGGUAGGAACUGAUACUCAGAUUACAUGUCAAAGCACAUUAUUAUCAUGAUUGAUUGCUGUGUUAAUUGAGUUAUGCAUGGUGAAUAAUUUAGGUGUAAUCAGUUCAUUGUUAGUCUCAACAAGUAUCUGGAGGCAACUAAAAAUGAAUUUGCAGUUGGGAUGAGAUUCAAGAUGAAAUUUGAGGGAGAAGAUGUUCCAGAGAAAAGGUUAUUCCUCAUUAAUUCUCCGUUCUUGUUGUAUUGUCUUGAGCUUCUUCCUAAUGAAUUUUUUUUUGGUUCUUAUUUCUUAGUUUCACUGGUACUGUAAUUGGAAUUGGAGACAUUUCUUCACAGUGGCCAGGUUCAAAGUGGAGAUCAUUAAAGGUUACGCAUGAACUCCUCUUCAUUCAUCCAAAUUGCAUGGACAUUGUGUCUGAAGUCUACUAAUUUCAGGUGCAUUGGGAUGAAGCAUCUAGCAUUCAGAAACCAGAGAAGAUCUCUCCAUGGGAUGUUGAGCCUUUCGGUCAACCCAUCUCUGCUUCUGGUGAUCCUCAGGCAGCCUUUUCCAAGAAGAGAGCUCGGUCACCCUUGGACCUCCCUGGCACUGGUAGUGAGAAUGAAGUUAUUCCUUUCCUCUUCAUUUGCUCGAUAUUUAUGUGACUGAAAUUUAAACUUUUUUUAUUCUAUUCAUACGCAGAACCUAGUUCAACUUUUAGGCAUCCUGUUGAGGACCAGAUGUUCGACCUAAGACCACCGAACAGCAUCAGCGCUAGGAGCUCAGAGACUCGAUUUCUCUGGUCACCUAGGCAGACAGAGAGCAUCAACUUCAAUUAUUUAAAUAUUCCCAGGCCAUGCAACAGAGGAUUGUUGGAUGGCUGGUCGAAAGACUCAUCUUCACUGCCACAUGUUACGCCCAAGCGUUUGGAGGAUGCUGUUGGUGAUGCAGAGGCCACUCUCCCUUCCUGGGGGCUUGCCUUGACUCCUAUAACUGAAGAACCAUCAUUGGAUUUGGAAUGCAAGAUUGAGAAUGAGAAGAAGCCUAAGAGUAGCGGUUGUUACCGGUUGUUUGGGAUUGACUUAGUCAGUCCUUCCGCUGGCAUAUCUUCAACCGUGUUAUCGGGUGACCAUGCGUGCAUAUCAAGUGCCACAACUGAGGAUCCUGUUGCUGCCACCGCUUUGAACGAGGACUUGGAUGAGCAGUCUGGAGUUUCAAAAGCUUCAAAAGAGACAAAACAAGUGCUGCAGGCAUCUCCAAAGGAGAUUCAGAGCAAACAAAACAUUGCUGCCAGAAGCUGUACCAAGGUAAAAACAUAGCUCUUCGAAAGCAUGAUUACUGUUCAUAAGGAACUUUGAUUAACAUUUGGGUGAUUACAAGGUUCACAUGCAAGGAAUUGCAGUUGGCCGAGCUGUAGACUUGGCAAACCUAGAAGGUUACGAUGAAUUGUUCAUAGAGCUAGAACAGAUGUUUGAGAUCAAAGGAGAGCUUCGCUGUCGCGACAAAUGGGAGGUUGUCUUUACUGAUGAUGAAGGGGAUAUGAUGCUGGUCGGCGACUAUCCAUGGCCGUAUGUAUCAUCUAUGAACCCUCUUGACUUAUUAACUGAUUACAAGUCACCUUCUGCUUGAGGAAUUAAAUUGAUUCAAGAACACAACUUUGCAGGGAAUUUUGUGAAGUGGCAAGGAAGAUACUCAUCUAUCCAAGUGAAGAUGUGAAGAGGGUGGAGCCUGAGAACAAGUUACCUGCCACUUCUUCCACAUAGGGUGAAGCCAUCUGCUGUUUCCCACCCAGAAGAAAACUCAACUGAAGGUCGGCAUGCUUUCACUCUUCCCUACCGAUCUGUUGGUUGGGGGACUCCUCAUCAUGCAUGACAACAGUCAAUAAAAUGUCAUGCUUCUUGCAAUUCUGUUUUCCAAAAGAAGCC
rnacentral:lncRNA from 1 species